rnacentral:SRP_RNA from 1 species
CGGAGGACUAUGCCGGGAGGUUAGCGCUCUUCUGUGACUGCACACGCGCUUCAGGCAGGGCGAAUCCCGCGAGAGGUGCCUCCUUUGCGCAAUGGUCUUGGCCAGGGUGUUGACACUCUGUCCCAAUUGGCUCUUGCGGCGAGAAAUCCCGUCAGGCCCGGAAGGGAGCAGCGGUAACUGGCUGCUGGGGCGCUUUUGGGGGCGCGGAGCCGAGCUCUUUCCAGGGUAGCCCUUGCCCAAAGGUUGUAUCGAUUGCGGGGAGUCCUCCG